AUGAUCUCUACAUCCCUACUGCUGCUGCUGCUGGCAGCCGUACACUGUGUUCACUGUGUUGAGCUGAUCCAGACCGGAUCCACAGUAUUAACUCCUGGUCAGUCACUGACUCUGACCUGUAAAGUGUCUGGAUAUUCAUUAACUGAUAGCAGCUACUGUACAGACUGGAUACGACAACCUGCAGGAAAAACUCUGGAGUGGAUCGGAGAGAUAUGUGGUAGCGGUAACACUUUCUACAGUGAGAAACUGAAAAGCAGGUUUCAGGUUUCCAGAGACACGUCCAGCAGCACAGUGACAUUAACAGGGCAGAACAUGCAGACUGAAGACACAGCUGUGUAUUACUGCGCUCGUUACACACAGUGAGACAGAUAAACAACGUCCCUGUACAAAAACUCCAAGUACACUGAAACAGUGCUAGCUCCCAACAUCCUCCUUCAUUAAAAAAGAAAUAAUAAUGAUACCAGUUCUGACUACAGCACCGGAGCCUCAUGAACAAUUCGACAGUCGGUUUCUGAUUACAUUGAAUUGAUUAGGCUCAUGUUCAUUUCACUCAUGUUCAUUUCAGCUAUCAAUAUCUGACAUUCACCUGUGUGUGAGUAAAUCACACUUACAGCAAGGUUUUACAAAUCUUCAGACAGACUGACUGUUUGUUGAAUUUGCUUCUUACACACAUUUUCAUGCAUGGUUUCUUCACACUGUGGAGUUUUUUAACCUCCAAAAUUGUCCUUCACCUGCAUCUGAUGAGUUUUCCCAGACCGGCACACACAUCCAUUUUAUUUUCCAUUACGUUUAAUAGCCUCCGUAAUGAAAUAAUAAAUGAUUACAUACA